rnacentral:piRNA from 1 species
UCAGACAAUGAAAAGUCAGCAGACGUGC